rnacentral:rRNA from 1 species
UACGUAGGGGGCAAGCGUUGUCCGGAUUUAUUGGGCUUAAAGAGCGCGCAGGCGGUCGUUCAAGUCGCGUGUGAAAGCCCCCGGCUCAACUGGGGAGGGUCACGCGAUACUGAUCGACUCGAAGGCAGGAGAGGGUAGUGGAAUUCCCGGUGUAGUGGUGAAAUGCGUAGAUAUCGGGAGGAACACCAGUGGCGAAGGCGACUACCUGGCCUGUUCUUGACGCUGAGGCGCGAAAGCUAGGGGAGCAAACGGG